rnacentral:RNase_P_RNA from 1 species
UAAGUAGAAUGGAUGAUCGCGGCUGCAAGUGUCGAAAGACCGCAGGUGAGGAAAGUCCGGGCUUCACAGGGCAGGAUGCCAGAUAACGUCUGGUGGAGGUGACUCCAAGGCUAGUGCAACAGAAAUAUACCGCCGGUAAUACCGGUAAGGUUGGAAGGGCAGUGUAAGAGACUACCGCUGUCUUGGUAACAAGACAGGCAUAUGUAAACCCCAUCCGAAGCAAGACCGAACAUAAGCAUACAGUGGCCCGCUGGCUUUAGGUAGGUUGCUUGAGUUCUAUGGCGACGUAGAACCUAGAUAGAUGAUUAUCCAAGACAUGACCCGGCUUAUAGUUCUGCUCACGAU